AAUCUAAGGAGUCAGCCAACGUACGAAUCAAUUGUAGUAAUGGCAUUGAUUUCCAAGAUUCUUGUAAGUUAGCUUUGCAAAGUAAUGUCUUGAUUUUGACCAAUUCAACAACCUUUAUUAUACUUUGCUUGGGUUUAUAAUUUUAUAUAUAAAUAUACAAAUUAUCAUGAAUAAGAAUAACUAAAUAAGUUGAUUGACAUAAUGUCCAAUUAACAAAUUUAAAUUCAAAUUCCAACCCAUAUAUCCAAAGUGAUCUAAUUUGCUAAAUAUUUUAUAUUUAACCAAAUUUAAAACUUUAUAAGUUUUGCAAGUCACUCACUUUGGACCUCCAUUUCUCAUUCAACACAACUCUGAUUUUGACAACCAAAUACACUAACUCAUAGUGUUCACGGUGACGAUUGCAUCGUGCCCAAGUUCCGGUUCUUCCGACAGACGUCUCCGUCGAAAAACCCAUCGGAAAAUUGGUCCACACCACUUUGUCAAAAACGAGUUCCAACACAUGAUUAAUAAGUGCCAAUUCCACAUUUUUUAUGCAAUUUUCUUUUUGUUCUAAGUGGCGUUGGCUUUUCACCUGUAAUGACAAUAUAGCCUUGAGCUACGUCGUAGGAGACGAAAGUAAAAUGCUGUAAAUUUCUAGUUUACAUUUUUUAUUUUAAUUAAAAAGUUUUGGGGGUCCUUAGCUGGAAAGGGUGAUAUAGUCCUUGAGCGCAGACGAACGAUUUAUAUAAUAUCUUUAGAUCAAAGAUUGCAUAAAAUACUUGAAAUGCAACCAAGAACACAGAAAGAAACUCAUCAUCUCCAACUGCAUUUCUCUGAAAGUUUAUGUUUCAUUUUCUUCCUCAACAUGGCCGCCAUGGAUUUCCACAGUAUGCGGAGAAGAGAUCUUCGAUUUCUAUGACGGGAAAACAUAAUAUCGGACGAUACGAGCAAGAUCGCCAUGGCCGCUGCUCUCAAAGUUCUUGAGAUAAGAACCGAGUUGUUGAGUCAGUCUUCAACCACUGCAUUGCCAACUGGUGGUGGAUCGACUAAAAGUAUGACCAUUAAGACUCGAUCGUCAAAUCAUCAUCAGUUUUACCGAAUUAACUCUAUUUAUCUUAUCUAAUCUUUAUUAUUUUUAAUAGAAUAUACUAUUCUAUAUUUGUUUCAUAUUUCAGUUAUGCUAAGUGUAAUAUUUUUUUAAAUUAAUCUUAGUAGGUCAAACUUAUCUUUGUUUUGAGUAUAUUAUAGAACAAAAUUGAGUUCCUUGACUAUUUUAUCUAUGAAAAAAUCAGUUAUAAAAUUUUAUUUUGAAAACUUGCAGUAAGACUAAGUAAAAAAAUAUUAAAUUUUAUAUAUUUUUGGUUAACUUAUUUAUUUACUUUAUUUUAUAUAACGAUAUUUUCCUGUUCUAAAUGGUUUUUUAGUUAACUGAUUUAUGCUAGUUUAGUUUUUUAAUUUUCUUUACAUUUUAUUCAUUUAUGACAUCCGAAAAUGUUGACACGACUAUGAGAAUAAGCCAUAUUCCAAAGACAAUGAAAAGGACAAAGCCGUUGCAGAAAAGAAGACAAGAACUGAAGAAGAAUUAAUUCUCUAGCAGCCAAGGAUUUACCAUCUUCUUCUUCUACACGUGGAGUUGCUAGAAGUACGAGCAAAGCUGCAUCAUCCAUGCCUCAGUCGGUCCAGCAUAAGCCAUCUUCCAAGGACAAAGAAAAGGGAAAAAGAAAAGUCGUGGUAGAAGAGAAGUCAGAAGCUGAAACAUGUAGACUGAAACUCCUGUAGCAAAUAUCUUAAUCAGACUCAACCAAUAUCCUCGUUGAUGGUUCUCCAAACUCAAGAAUGCAUUGAAGACCUACGGUUUCAUUCAAAGUAAACCAGACUACUCACACUUCUCCUACAUUAUUGGCAAAAUCAGUCUUCACAUCCUAGUUUAUGUAGACGAUUUUAUCAUAUUUGGCAGCAAUCUCUUUACACUUCAGAAAUUCAAGAACUAUCUUAAUUAGUGCUUCAAGAUGAAAGAUCAGGCAAGCUGAAGUAUUUUUUUGGUA